AUGGCCCAGAAGCGUGCCGCCCGGUGCGGCCGCAAACCCGCCGCUGGAUCUGAGGAUUCGGUGGAGCUAGGGCGCAACGGGGAGCCGGUGGAGCGCCGACCCGCGAAGAAACCCUCGCCGGAAGAGGCCGAUGCCUCCCAGUCCGACCAAGUUCGGAAUGGAGGGGAAGCGACGGAUGAGGAGACCGCCGCUCGAGCGUUAGCGGCAAUGGCGGCGGCAGGAGAUGAGCCUCCAAAGGCGGCCAAGCCAUCGGCGACACCGAGGCCCUCCGCCGCUGAACCCAGCGAAGAAGAAGACGGAGUUACCUCCCGCGGCCAGGAGGAGGUGGCAAAGAAGUUGUCUCCAUCAGCCAAAAAUACUGUUUCUCGGAAGGGAAACGAAGAGGAAUCGACGAAGGCUCCGGGUCCAAAUCCCCUGCCCAAGAGGAGGAAAAGGGCGUCGGGCAGCACCAGUAGGUCGCAGCAGCCAAAGGUACCGGCGCCUGCACAGCAACGGGAGAGUGAGCAGCUUAUGGUUUCUUUUUUUUUCGAAAAGGGGGACUGA
rnacentral:rRNA from 1 species